UCGUCCGCCCUGGGUUAGUCGGGACCUAAGCUGAGGCCGAAAGGCGUAGGUGAUGGACAACAGGUUGAUAUUCCUGUACUACCGAUAACCGUUUGAGAGAUGGGAUGACACAGUAGGAUAAGCUAAGCACACUGUUGGUUAUGUGUGCCCAAGCAUUGAGGCAGUCAAAGUAGGUAAAUCCGCUUUGAUAAUGCUGGGAUGUGAUGGGGAGCGAAAUUUAGUAGCGAAGUAGCUGAUUUCACACUGUCAAGAAAAGUCUCUAUCGAGGUUAAAGG
rnacentral:rRNA from 1 species